rnacentral:rRNA from 1 species
GACGAACGCUGGCGGCGUGCUUAACACAUGCAAGUCGAGCGAUGAAGCACCUUCGGGUGUGAAUUAGCGGCGAACGGGUGAGGGACACGUGAGAAAUCUGCCUUCAACUCUGGGAUAACUCCGGGAAACCGGGGCUAAUACCGGAUAUGAAACCUUCAGGCAUCUGAGGGUUUGGAAAGGUUUUCGGUUGAAGACGAGCUCGCGGCCUAUCAGCUAGUUGGUGAGGUAAUGGCUCACCAAGGCGUCGACGGGUAGCCGGCCUGAGAGGGUGACCGGCCACACUGGGACUGAGACACGGCCCAGACUCCUACGGGAGGCAGCAGUGGGGAAUAUUGCACAAUGGGCGCAAGCCUGAUGCAGCAACGCCGCGUGAGGGACGACGGCCUUCGGGUUGUAAACCUCUUUUAGCAGGGAAGAAGCGAAAGUGACGGUACCUGCAGAAAAAGCACCGGCUAACUCCGUGCCAGCCGCCGCCGUAACAC